AAAAAAAAAAAAACCCUUGUGGUUUCACUUCUUCUCACUUUAGUACUCAGUAUUUAAAGUGUAUCAAGUUAGUACCCAGUGAUUUUACACUUUUUUACUAUAAUACUCUGUGGUUUAAAGUAUAUCAAAUUAGUACCCUACGAUUUCGCACUUUCUCACUUUAGUACCAUGUGGUUUCGCACUUUCUCACUUUAGUACUCUAUGGUUUAAAAACUAUAGGGUACUAACUUGAUACAAAAAUAAAACCACAGGGUAUUAACUUGAUACAAAAAUAAAACAACAGAGUACUAACUUGAUACACUUUAAACCACAGGGUACUAAAGUGAGAAAGUGAGAAAUCACAUGGUACUAACUUGAUACACUUUAAACCAUAGGGUACUAAAAUG
rnacentral:lncRNA from 1 species